UGGGGAAUAUUGCACAAUGGGCGAAAGCCUGAUGCAGCGACGCCGCGUGAGGGAUGACGGCCUUCGGGUUGUAAACCUCUUUCAGCAGGGAAGAAGCGAAAGUGACGGUACCUGCAGAAGAAGCGCCGGCUAACUACGUGCCAGCAGCCGCGGUAAUACGUAGGGCGCAAGCGUUGUCCGGAAUUAUUGGGCGUAAAGAGCUCGUAGGCGGUUAGUCGCGUCUGCUGUGAAACUCGAGGCUCAACCUCGGGCUUGCAGUGGGUACGGGCUGACUAGAGUGCGGUAGGGGUGACUGAAUUCCUGGUGUAGCGGUGGAAUGCGCAGAUAUCAGGAGGAACACCGAUGGCGAAGGCAGGUCACUGGGCCGCAACUGACGCUGAGGAGCGAAAGCAUGGGGAGCGAACAGGAUUAGAUACCCUGGUAGUCCAUGCCGUAAACGUUGGGCACUAGGUGUGGGGUCCAUUCCACGGAUUCCGUGCCGCAGCAAGCGCAUUAAGUGCCCCCGCCUGGGGAGUACGGCCGCAAGGCUAAAACUUAAAUGAAUUG
rnacentral:rRNA from 1 species